rnacentral:lncRNA from 1 species
AGGAGGAGUGCAAAGCGCGGAAUUCAGACGCACAGCAGAUAACGUUACGAGAAAACAGCCUUCAGUCAACGGAUCUAAAAUGGAAGGGCGCCCUCCAACCCCGGAAGAUGAGGAGUUCGACCUGGAGGAGGAAAGACGACGCAGCGAGGCGUUACAGCGCCACCUUCAGAUGACUCUAAUGACGAUUCAGCUGCUGUUGGACAUUGCUGACUACCUACUUCGACUUGCUAGGCCAGAGGACUAUGGCAACGACAAUCCCCGAAGUCGUUGAAGAAACGCUCGAAGCUUUUAUUUUUCUGAACUUUUUCGUUGUUUCUUUUUUUGGUCGGGAAAGAAUUCUUGUGUCAAUAAAUGAAUACUGCAUC